AAUCUCAUUUUUCCUAUAGCCAUGGAACACCAUGGUAACAUGGAUCUUGGAAAAACCCAGAAUUGAAUUGUUUUGCUGAUAGAUUUCAUGAAAUGUCCAAUGUGUUGGUGUCAUUUGUUUUAUCUGGUUAUCAUGAUCCAAUUUUGCAUUGUUAAAAAAAAAAAAAAAAACAUUUUAAAGGUGUAGUGUUGAAAGUGCUAGCAAGAUUCGAUUGCAGCCUCGAUUCAGUACUCCCUCCACCUCUCCCUCCCCUCUGGCCGAACCCGUGCCCCUCGCAGGCGUUUACGCACAAGUCACCAGCUGGCGUUACCGUGUUCACCUUGUAGAAGCAACUUUGCCAUUUUCGAUUUCCCAAGAGGAGAGCACAGCUAUUAGUGACCUCGGCCAACUCCAACACCCGGCUGAGUACAACGCUGGGUAGAAGACGAGGAGGAGAAAGAUGACAGACUGAGUUUAGAGGAAUCACAUAGUGCGAUAAAGAAAUUUCUGCUACGCGACUCCAGCUUCAUGUCAUCCUUCACAAGACAUUUGGGGAAGCUCUUCUGACGCUGCCAUAACUGCAGACACAUGACAAACGUAUGGACACCAUCUUGAAUGAGCGAGUUUUACGCAGACCCAGAAGAAUGUGGAAUGACAUCCGGACAGCUGAUGACCUUUGUGACAGACAAUUUCCCCGAGGAAGAUCCCCAAGGACAUUAUAUAGGAUUCAGACAAAGCAGACAAUGAGGAACCACAUUUUAUAUUUUCAAAGCAUUGCUCCAGUAGAAAUGUGCACGUUAUAUUACUUUAUAAAUAUUUGUAGAUCCAUUUGCACCUUAUUUUAGAAGAGAGAAGAACUGAAAAUGAAUGGUUCCUUCUUCACAAUUGCCACUCAGAAAUCUGUGUUACAUUUCGUAUCUCCUACCAGUUCAUAGACGUCACUGCCCUAUAUAACACUUGUUCAUGGAUUGGACAGUAUAUUUAAAACAAGAAAUCUAAAACUAUUUAUAAGAUAAAUAUAAGUAUUUCAACAAUUUUAGGUACAAGAUAUAUGUAUGGUUCAAUUACGUCAUAAGACGUUUGUGCGCUAUUCCACCACUGGAUCGUGUCACUUCAAUCUUGGAUCGGGCAGUGUCCUUCAGAAAGAAUCUCAUAUUUAGAUAACUAUUGAAUUCAUUUCACACACAACCCUAACAGAUUUUGACAAAUGUGUACAAAUCCAAAUGACUACAAAUAGACCUGACAUCAUGAGAAAUAAUUAAAAUGAAAAAAAUGGAUUUACUCAUUGAUGUCAUGAAGCAUGUUUAUAAAUGACAUGAUACAUAUUUGUAUGUUGUUAUUUCUUGAGCCAGCCAUAAGAUUGAAGUAAAACUCACAUUGGCCUCUUCUGAGUUAAGUUAGCAACACAUGAAUAGAUCAUCAGGCCUUAGCUAUUGUAAUCUGCGGCAGGCCACUGGUGACAGACACCCUGUAAUUCCAUUUGAUUUUUCUUGAUUUAUUUGUAAGGGACAAUAACAGAGGGAAAUUGACAGUUGGAGAGGCAGCAACAAUCAAUCGAGUUGUGAUAAAUAAAAAUCUAGCAACUUUACAGCAUUCCAGGUAAUUACUUGCAUGGACUUUCCUAUGUUGUUCAAUUCCCUUACAUUUCUGUCCACCGAUGACAAACGAAACACACAAAAGAAAAAAAUAAACACUGUUCUAUUCUGUCUAUAUGUUGCUGAAAUUAUAUAAGGAGCAAUGUUAUUGUUGCGCUUGUGUCAAGAGUUAUAAAGGAAGUAAAAUAAUUUUUUCCCCCCUAAAAUGAAUACCCUGGGUCAAACGGAACGUGUCAUCUGUGCUGUUGUCCAUGACCUGAACUCCACCUUCUCAGAAAUC